GGGGGAGAUGACCACAUGUAUGAGGUGAAGGUUGGGGAGAUGACCACAUGUAUGAGGUGAAGGUUGGGGAGAUGACCACAUGUAUGAGGUGAAGGUUGGGGAGAUGACCACAUGUAUGAGGUGAAGGUUGGGGAGAUGACCACAUGUAUGAGGUGAAGGUUGGGGAGAUGACCACAUGUAUGAGGUGAAGGUUGGGGAGAUGACCACAUGUAUGAGGUGAAGGUUGAGAAGAUGAGCACAUGCAUGAGGUGAAGAUUAGGGGGAGAUGAGCACAUGUAUGAGGUUAAGGUUGGGGAGAUGACAACAUGUAUGAGGUGAGGUUUGGGGAGGUGACCACAUGUAUGAGGUGAAG